UACGGAGGGGGCUAGCGUUGUUCGGAAUUACUGGGCGUAAAGCGCGCGUAGGCGGACCUGCAAGUCGGGGGUGAAAGCCCGAGGCUCAACCUCGGAACUGCCUUCGAUACUGCGGGUCUCGAGUCCGGGAGAGGUGGGUGGAAUUCCUAGUGUAGAGGUGAAAUUCGUAGAUAUUAGGAAGAACACCAGUGGCGAAGGCGGCUCACUG
rnacentral:rRNA from 1 species